rnacentral:rRNA from 1 species
UAGCUAGUUGGUGAGGUAAAGGCUUACCAAGGCGACGAUCUGUAGCGGGUCUGAGAGAAUGAUCCGCCACACUGGAACUGAGACACGGUCCAGACUCCUACGGGAGGCAGCAGUGGGGAAUUUUGGACAAUGGGGGCAACCCUGAUCCAGCCAUGCCGCGUGAGUGAAGAAGGCCUUCGGGUUGUAAAGCUCUUUCGGCCGGGAAGAAAUCGCAUGGGCCAAUACCCUGUGUGGAUAACGGUACCGGAAUAAGAAGCACCGGCUAACUACGUGCCAGCAGCCGCGGUAAUACGUAGGGUGCGAGCGUUAAUCGGAAUUACUGGGCGUAAAGCGUGCGCAGGCGGUUUUGUAAGACAGGCGUGAAAUCCCCAGGCUUAACCUGGGAACUGCGUUUGUGACUGCAAGGCUAGAGUACGGCAGAGGGGGGUGGAAUUCCACGUGUAGCAGUGAAAUGCGUAGAGAUGUGGAGGAACACCAAUGGCGAAGGCAGCCCCCUGGGUCGAUACUGACGCUCAUGCACGAAAGCGUGGGUAGCAAACAGGAUUAGAUACCCUGGUAGUCCACGCCCUAAACUAUGUCAACUAGGUGUUGGGUGGGUAAAACCAUUUAGUACCGUAGCUAACGCGUGAAGUUGACCGCCUGGGGAGUACGGCCGCAAGGUUAAAACUCAAAGGAAUUGACGGGGACCCGCACAAGCGGUGGAUGAUGUGGAUUAAUUCGAUGCAACGCGAAAAACCUUACCUACCCUUGACAUGCCAGGAACUUGCCAGAGAUGGCUUGGUGCCCGAAAGGGAGCCUGGACACAGGUGCUGCAUGGCUGUCGUCAGCUCGUGUCGUGAGAUGUUGGGUUAAGUCCCGCAACGAGCGCAACCCUUGUCGUUAAUUGCCAUCAUUUAGUUGGGCACUUUAACGAGACUGCCGGUGACAAACCGGAGGAAGGUGGGGAUGACGUCAAGUCCUCAUGGCCCUUAUGGGUAGGGCUUCACACGUCAUACAAUGGUCGGUACAAAGGGUUGCCAAGCCGCGAGGCGGAGCCAAUCCCAGAAAGCCGAUCGUAGUCCGGAUUGCAGGCUGCAACUCGCCUGCAUGAAGUCGGAAUCGCUAGUAAUCGUGGAUCAGCAUGUCACGGUGAAUACGUUCCCGGGUCUUGUACACACCGCCCGUCACACCAUGGGAGCGGGUUCCGCCAGAAGUAGGUAGCCUAACCGCAAGGGGGGCGCUUACCACGGCGGGGUUCGUGACUGGGGUGAAGUCGUAACAAGGUAGCCGUAGGGGAACCUGCGGCUG